rnacentral:rRNA from 1 species
UACGUAGGGUGCAAGCGUUAAUCGGAAUUACUGGGCGUAAAGCGUGCGCAGGCGGUUUGGUAAGACAGAUGUGAAAUCCCCGGGCUUAACCUGGGAAUUGCAUUUGUGACUGCCCGGCUAGAGUUUGGCAGAGGGGGGUAGAAUUCCACGUGUAGCAGUGAAAUGCGUAGAUAUGUGGAGGAAUACCGAUGGCGAAGGCAGCCCCCUGGGCCAACACUGACGCUCAGGCACGAAAGCGUGGGGAGCAAACAGG